AGAGUUUGAUCCUGGCUCAGAACGAACGUUAGCGGCGCGCUUAACACAUGCAAGUCGAACGAGAAAGGGCUUCGGCCCCGGUACAGUGGCGCACGGGUGAGUAACACGUGGGUAACCUUCCCUCGAGCGGGGGAUAACAUUCCGAAAGGAAUGCUAAUACCGCAUAAGACCACGCCUCCGAAAGGAGGAGAGGUAAAAGCUGGCCUCUACACGUAAGCUAGCUCUUGAGGAUGGGUCCGCGGCGCAUCAGCUAGUUGGUGAGGUAAUGGCUCACCAAGGCGAAGACGCGUAGCUGGUCUGAGAGGAUGAUCAGCCACACUGGAACUGAGACACGGUCCAGACUCCUACGGGAGGCAGCAGUGGGGAAUCUUGCGCAAUGGACGAAAGUCUGACGCAGCGACGCCGCGUGAGUGAUGAAGGCCUUCGGGUUGUAAAGCUCUGUGGGGAGAGACGAAUAAGUGCAGGCUAAUCACUGCAUGAUGACGGUAUCUCCUUAGCAAGCACCGGCUAACUCUGUGCCAGCCGCCGCGGUAAUAC
rnacentral:rRNA from 1 species